GAUGAACGCUGACAGAAUGCUUAACACAUGCAAGUCUUUGGCGAAGCUGUGCUUGCACAGCCUAGCCAAGGCGGACGGGUGAGUAACGCGUAAGGAACUUGCCCUGCAGUCAGGGAUAACAGACGGAAACGACUGAUAAGACCUGGUAAAGUCAGGCGGACUCACGUCCAGCCUGAUGAAAAGAGAUGCUGCAGGAGAGCCUUGCGUCCUAUUAGCUUGUUGGUGGGGUAACGGCCCACCAAGGCGAUGAUAGGUAGCCGGCCUGAGAGGGCGGACGGCCACAAGGGGACUGAGAUACGGCCCUUACUCCUACGGGAGGCAGCAGUGGGGAAUAUUGGACAAUGGGGGCAACCCUGAUCCAGCAAUUCUGUGUGCACGAUGAAGGUUUUCGGAUUGUAAAGUGCUUUCAGCAGGGAAGAAAAAAAUGACGGUACCUGCAGAAGAAGCGACGGCUAAAUACGUG
rnacentral:rRNA from 1 species